rnacentral:tRNA from 1 species
GGCCCUAUAGCCUAGUCUGGAUAAGGCGACAGCCUUCUAAGCUGUAGAUCGGGAGUUCGAAUCUCCCUAGGGCCG